CCAUAUUGAAUGAUUUACACAUGAUAUGUUAUCCAUGUGUCUCCUGAGCUCCCUGCCCUUCAUCCUCUUUAUUCUACCUAGGAUCUCCCAGUCCCUGUAUCUAGCCCAUCCCUAAGACCCUAUGAGACUUUCUUUACUCCUUACCGUUUUUGACCAUCUUCUUCCUUAGGUAAUGUGUAGGGAGCUGAUCUCACAAGACCCUCAGGACACUCACAGUCCUCCAAGGCUUCGAGUCCAUGGGCCCCUCAGCAAUUCUCCAGAUUUUGCCAAACAUUUUCUUUGUCCAAGUGGUUCCCUUCUGAAUCCCUCUACCCGCUGCAAGCUCUGGUAGCUUGGCUACCAAAGAGACUGAGAUAUACAUGGACUCCUUAUGAGCCCAUCCUUGAAGUCAAAAUAAAUGUCUCUCUCCUUUUUGUUCCCAAAAUAAAAGUGUGUAUUUUCCCUUUG
rnacentral:lncRNA from 1 species